AUUGAACGCUGGCGGCAGGCCUAACACAUGCAAGUCGAGCGGUAGAGCGAAGCUUGCUUCUCUUGAGAGCGGCGGACGGGUGAGUAAUGCCUAGGAAUCUGCCUGGUAGUGGGGGAUAACGUUCGGAAACGGACGCUAAUACCGCAUACGUCCUACGGGAGAAAGCAGGGGACCUUCGGGCCUUGCGCUAUCAGAUGAGCCUAGGUCGGAUUAGCUAGUUGGUGGGGUAAUGGCUCACCAAGGCGACGAUCCGUAACUGGUCUGAGAGGAUGAUCAGUCACACUGGAACUGAGACACGGUCCAGCCUCCUACGGGAGGCAGCAGUGGGGAAUAUUGGACAAUGGGCGAAAGCCUGAUCCAGCCAUGCCGCGUGUGUGAAGAAGGUCUUCGGAUUGUAAAGCACUUUAAGUUGGGAGGAAGGGCAGUAAAUUAAUACUUUGCUGUUUGGACGUUACCGACAGAAUAAGCACCGGCUAACUCUGU
rnacentral:rRNA from 1 species